UAUUCCCCAGAAAAAGCGGCAAAAAUAGUAUUAUCUUGUGAAGUAUUGACUUCACAAUAUUGCUAUAGCUGAAGGAACAUUAGUCCCAGAAGACUUGGGAAAUGUAGAUGAAGUUACUGACAUUCAAUCAAGCCAAGGUUUUAACAAUUAUCUUCAAGAGGGCAGAAGAGUACAAAGUGAAAUAAUUAAUAGAUAUUUUAGCGAUUAAUCAUUGGUACUUAUUAGAGCUUACUACAGUUAAAAUAAUUAGAAAUAACAGUUCAGUUCAAGAACAAGUAAAUCAAAGAUCAAACAAA
rnacentral:lncRNA from 1 species